CAGUCGCCGCGGUAAUACGAAGGGUGCAAGCGUUAAUCGGAAUUACUGGGCGUAAAGCGUGCGUAGGCGGUUUGUUAAGUCUGCCGUGAAAUCCCCGGGCUCAACCUGGGAAUGGCAGUGGAUACUGGCAAGCUAGAGUGUGUCAGAGGAUGGUGGAAUUCCCGGUGUAGCGGUGAAAUGCGUAGAUAUCGGAAGGAACACCAGUGGCGAAGGCGGCUACCUGGACUGAGACUGACACUGAGGCGCGAGAGCGUGGGGAGCAAACAGGAUUAGAUACCCGUGUAGUCCCUGUCUCUUAUAC
rnacentral:rRNA from 1 species